GACAGAGGGUGCAAACGUUGUUCGGAAUUACUGGGCGUAAAGCGCGUGUAGGCAGCUUGGCAAGCCGGGUGUGAAAGCCCUGGGCUCAACCUAGGAAGUGCACUCGAAACUGCUUCGCUUGAGUAUCGGAGAGGAAAGCGGAAUUCUCGGUGUAGAGGUGAAAUUCGUAGAUAUCGAGAGGAACACCAGUGGCGAAGGCGGCUUUCUGGACGAUCAUUGAUGCUGAGAUGCGAAAGCGUGGGGAGCAAACAGG
rnacentral:rRNA from 1 species